rnacentral:rRNA from 1 species
UACGUAGGGGGCAAGCGUUGUCCGGAUUUAUUGGGCGUAAAGAGCGUGUAGGCGGCCUGAAAGGUCAGCUGUGAAAACUCGAGGCUCAACCUCGAGACGUCGGUUGAAACCAUCUGGCUAGAGUCCGGAAGAGGAGUGUGGAAUUCCCGGUGUAGCGGUGAAAUGCGCAGAUAUCGGGAGGAACACCGGUGGCGAAGGCGGGUCUCUGGGCAAUAACUGACGCUGAGGAGCGAAAGCGUGGGGAGCGAACAGG